UACGGGGGGGGCAAGCGUUGUUCGGAAUUACUGGGCGUAAAGGGCGCGUAGGCGGCCACCGCAAGUCAGUUGUGAAAUCUCUGGGCUUAACCCAGAAAGGUCAACUGAUACUGCGGGGCUAGAGUGCAGAAGGGGCAACUGGAAUUCUCGGUGUAGCGGUGAAAUGCGUAGAUAUCGAGAGGAACACCUGCGGCGAAGGCGGGUUGCUGGGCUGACACUGACGCUGAUGCGCGAAAGCUAGGGGAGCGAACGGG
rnacentral:rRNA from 1 species